rnacentral:sRNA from 1 species
AGAGACAUGAGGUUGAAAGUCGCACAGUCUUCGGACUGUGCUUGUUUUUGUAAGUAGAUUGGACGCGCAUCGCGUCUACUCCACUUU